GCAUGCUGGAGGUAUCAGAAGUGCGAAUGCUGACAUAAGUAACGAUAAAGCGGGUGAAAAGCCCGCUCGCCGGAAGACCAAGGGUUCCUGUCCAACGUUAAUCGGGGCAGGGUGAGUCGACCCCUAAGGCGAGGCCGAAAGGCGUAGUCGAUGGGAAACAGGUUAAUAUUCCUGUACUUGGUGUUACUGCGAAGGGGGGACGGAGAAGGCUAUGUUGGCCGGGCGACGGUUGUCCCGGUUUAAGCGUGUAGGCUGGUUUUCCAGGCAAAUCCGGAAAAUCAAGGCUGAGGCGUGAUGACGAGGCACUACGGUGCUGAAGCAACAAAUGCCCUGCUUCCAGGAAAAGCCUCUAAGCAUCAGGUAACAUCAAAUCGUACCCCAAACCGACACAGGUGGUCAGGUAGAGAAUACCAAGGCGCUUGAGAGAACUCGGGUGAAGGAACUAGGCAAAAUGGUGCCGUAACUUCGGGAGAAGGCACGCUGAUAUGUAGGUGAAGUCCCUCGCGGAUGGAGCUGAAAUCAGUCGAAGAUACCAGCUGGCUGCAACUGUUUAUUAAAAACACAGCACUGUGCAAACACGAAAGUGGACGUAUACGGUGUGACGCCUGCCCGGUGCCGGAAGGUUAAUUGAUGGGGUCAGCGCAAGCGAAGCUCUUGAUCGAAGCCCCGGUAAACGGCGGCCGUAACUAUAACGGUCCUAAGGUAGCGAAAUUCCUUGUCGGGUAAGUUCCGACCUGCACGAAUGGCGUAAUGAUGGCCAGGCUGUCUCCACCCGAGACUCAGUGAAAUUGAACUCGCUGUGAAGAUGCAGUGUACCCGCGGCAAGACGGAAAGACCCCGUGAACCUUUACUAUAGCUUGACACUGAACAUUGAGCCUUGAUGUGUAGGAUAGGUGGGAGGCUUUGAAGUGUGGACGCCAGUCUGCAUGGAGCCGACCUUGAAAUACCACCCUUUAAUGUUUGAUGUUCUAACGUGGACCCGUGAUCCGGGUUGCGGACAGUGUCUGGUGGGUAGUUUGACUGGGGCGGUCUCCUCCUAAAGAGUAACGGAGGAGCACGAAGGUUGGCUAAUCCUGGUCGGACAUCAGGAGGUUAGUGCAAUGGCAUAAGCCAGCUUGACUGCGAGCGUGACGGCGCGAGCAGGUGCGAAAGCAGGUCAUAGUGAUCCGGUGGUUCUGAAUGGAAGGGCCAUCGCUCAACGGAUAAAAGGUACUCCGGGGAUAACAGGCUGAUACCGCCCAAGAGUUCAUAUCGACGGCGGUGUUUGGCACCUCGAUGUCGGCUCAUCACAUCCUGGGGCUGAAGUAGGUCCCAAGGGUAUGGCUGUUCGCCAUUUAAAGUGGUACGCGAGCUGGGUUUAGAACGUCGUGAGACAGUUCGGUCCCUAUCUGCCGUGGGCGCUGGAGAACUGAGGGGGGCUGCUCCUAGUACGAGAGGACCGGAGUGGACGCAUCACUGGUGUUCGGGUUGUCAUGCCAAUGGCACUGCCCGGUAGCUAAAUGCGGAAGAGAUAAGUGCUGAAAGCAUCUAAGCACGAAACUUGCCCCGAGAUGAGUUCUCCCUGACCCUUUAAGGGUCCUGAAGGAACGUUGAAGACGACGACGUUGAUAGGCCGGGUGUGUAAGCGCAGCGAUGCGUUGAGCUAACCGGUACUAAUGAACCGUGAGGCUUAACCUU
rnacentral:rRNA from 1 species